UACGGAGGAUCCAAGCGUUAUCCGGAAUCAUUGGGUUUAAAGGGUCCGUAGGCGGUCUUGUAAGUCAGUGGUGAAAGCCCAUCGCUCAACGGUGGAACGGCCAUUGAUACUGCAAGACUUGAAUUAUUGGGAAGUAACUAGAAUAUGUAGUGUAGCGGUGAAAUGCUUAGAUAUUACAUGGAAUACCAAUUGCGAAGGCAGGUUACUACCAAUACAUUGACGCUGAUGGACGAAAGCGUGGGGAGCGAACAGG
rnacentral:rRNA from 1 species